UACGAAGGGGGCUAGCGUUGCUCGGAAUUACUGGGCUUAAAGGGUGCGUAGGCGGCUCGGCACGUCCGUUGUGAAAUCGCCCGGCUCAACUGGGCGGGGUCAGCGGAUACGGUCGAGCUUGAGCAAGCUAGGGGGCAAUGGAAUUCCCGGUGUAGUGGUGGAAUGCGUAGAUAUCGGGAGGAACACCAGUGGCGAAGGCGGUUGCCUGGAGCUUUGCUGACGCUGAGGCGCGAAAGCGUGGGGAGCGAUCCGG
rnacentral:rRNA from 1 species